rnacentral:rRNA from 1 species
GAUGAGUGCUAGGUGUCGGGGGGAAACCUUCGGUGCCGCAGCUAACGCAAUAAGCACUCCACCUGGGGAGUACGUACGCAAGUAUGAAACUCAAAGGAAUUGACGGGGGCCCGCACAAGCGGAGGAACAUGUGGUUUAAUUCGAUGAUACGCGAGGAACCUUACCCGGGCUUGAAAUGCUCCUGACAGGCAGAGAGAUCUGUUUUUCUUCGGACAGGAGUGUAGGUGCUGCAUGGUUGUCGUCAGCUCGUGCCGUGAGGUGUCGGCUUAAGUGCCAUAACGAGCGCAACCCCUAUCGCUAGUUGCCAUCGGGUGAUGCCGGGCACUCUAUCGAGACUGCCAUCGUAAGAUGUGAGGAGGGUGGGGAUGACGUCAAAUCAGCACGGCCCUUACGUCCGGGGCGACACACGUGUUACAAUGGGAGGUACAAAGGGCAGCUACCGUGCGAACGGAUGCUAAUCUCAAAAACCUUUCUCAGUUCGGAUCGGAGUCUGCAACUCGACUCCGUGAAGCUGGAUUCGCUAGUAAUCGCGCAUCAGCCAUGGCGCGGUGAAUACGUUCCCGGGCCUUGUACACACCGCCCGUCAAGCCACGGAAGUUGGGGGUACCUGAAGUUCGUAACCGCAAGGAGCGACCUAGGGUAAAACCGGUAACUGGGGCUAAGUCGUAACAAGGUAGCCGUA